rnacentral:rRNA from 1 species
CGCGUAGGCGGCCUGGUAAGGUUGCGGUGAAAGCCCGGGGCUCAACCCCGGGUCGGCCGUGGCAACUGCUGGGCUGGAGCACUGUAGAGGCAGGUGGAAUUCCGGGUGUAGCGGUGGAAUGCGUAGAGAUCCGGAAGAACACCGGUGGCGAAGGCGGCCUGCUGGGCAGUGGCUGACGCUGAUGCGCGACAGCGUGGGGAGCGAACG